rnacentral:rRNA from 1 species
GAUGAACGCUGACAGAAUGCUUAACACAUGCAAGUCGAUGGGGAAGUGGUGCUUGCACCAUGGUAACCAUGGCGGACGGGUGAGUAACGCGUAAGGAACUUACCUGCGGGACCGGGAUAACAGCAGGAAACUGCUGACAAGACCGGAUAAGGUCACUAAGCUGCAUAGCUUAGUGAUGAAAGGAGACGCCUGCGGAGAGCCUUGCGUCCUAUUAGCUAGUUGGAGGGGUAACGGCCCACCAAGGCGAAGAUAGGUAGCCGGCCUGAGAGGGUGGACGGCCACAAGGGGACUGAGAUACGGCCCUUACUCCUACGGGAGGCAGCAGUGGGGAAUAUUGGACAAUGGGGGCAACCCUGAUCCAGCAAUUCUGUGUGCACGAAGACGGUUUUCGGAUUGUAAAGUGCUUUCAGCAGGGAAGAAGGAAGUGACGGUACCUGCAGAAGAAGCGACGGCUAAAUACGUG